rnacentral:rRNA from 1 species
CUUACCCUACUGGAGGCAGCAGUAGGGAAUCUUCCACAAUGGACGAAAGUCUGAUGGAGCAACGCCGCGUGAGUGAAGAAGGGUUUCGGCUCGUAAAGCUCUGUUGGUAGUGAAGAAAGAUAGAGGUAGUAACUGGCCUUUAUUUGACGGUAAUUACUUAGAAAGUCACGGCUAACUACGUGCCAGCAGCCGCGGGAAUACGGAGGUGGCAAGCGUUGUCCGGAUUUUUUGGGCGUUAAGCGAGUGCAGGCGGGUUCAUA